rnacentral:misc_RNA from 1 species
GGCAAAUAAAAGACCCUGUAACUGAAAUGAACUCUCAUGACCUCAAAGACCAGACAAAUCAUUCACCUUCAUUCCUUUUGGCACUUGAGAUUGUAAGACAUUCAUACAAACUGCUCACUAAACCAGAGUCAGGAACUGAUUAUCUUGUUGAACAUGGUUUGAAUGGAAAUAAUCCCCAACAAAACAAACAUGUCCCUUUUAC